CCUACGGGGUGCUGCAGUGGGGAAUAUUGCGCAAUGGGCGAAAGCCUGACGCAGCGACGCCGCGUGAGGGAUGAAGGUCUUCGGAUCGUAAACCUCUGUCAGCAGGGAAGAACGGUCACUGUGCUAAUCAGCAGUGAAUUGACGGUACCUGCAAAGGAAGCACCGGCUAACUCCGUGCCAGCAGCCGCGGUAAUACGGAGGGUGCGAGCGUUAAUCGGAAUUACUGGGCGUAAAGCGCUCGUAGGCGGUAUGUCAAGUCAAGGGUGAAAGCCCCGGGCUCAACGGGGGAACUGCCUUUGAAACUGGCAAACUGGAGUGUAGGAGAGGAGAGUGGAAUUCGAGGUGUAGGGGUGAAAUGCGUAGAUAUCGGGAGGAACAUCAGUGGCGAAGGCGACUAUCUGGCACAUAACUGACGCUGAGGAGCGAAAGCGUGGGUAGCAAACAGGAUUAGAUACCCCAGUAGUC
rnacentral:rRNA from 1 species